CAUUUUGCCAAAAUAUUCCUAUACUGUUUUUUGCCAAGAAAUUGGCUGUAACACCAGAGGCGGUAUGAAAUAGGUAUAUUGGACCCGAGGGCAGUACUCGGCACCUCCACCAUUUUAUAAAGCACUGUUAUGCCGUUAGUGACGGCUGUUUAAGCCGGCUAAUGCGAUGUAAGUUUUUUCUGCGGUGUACAAAACCGCUACAUAAAGAAAAAACUUGCAAGCAGGAGCCGCUUAUCUUAACUGCAAAAAUGCAGAGAAAUGCUCUGCUGCGCCGUUGCGAGCGAACGACUUGUAGGUAAAAACUACACGAGUGAGUGAGCAACAAGCAUGAGAGCGUUUAUAGUGACGGCUGUUUAAGCCGGCUAAUGCGAUGUAAGUUUUUUCUGCGGUGUACAAAACCGCUACAUAAAGAAAAAACUUGCAAGCAGGAGCCGCUUAAACAGCCGGAUACGAGGGGGUGAAAUAGGUUUGACAGUAUAUAUUAAAGAUACUUGCUGUGUUCGGCGGGAUACCACCGUUAUCGGUUCAAAAUAAAUGAAUGCAAAUGAUAAUUUUGCACCUGUUGCCGUAGCUGCUUAAUUUAAGCGAAAGUAACAAAAUCAGAUUCUUUUAACCUUGGUUUGUUAAAAGUGGGGUUUGAGCCACCUAGCAACAGAACGGCU
rnacentral:tmRNA from 1 species